rnacentral:rRNA from 1 species
GAAUCUUAGACAAUGGGGGCAACCCUGAUCUAGCGAUGCCGCGUGGAUGAAGAAGGCCUUCGGGUUGUAAAAUCCUUUCACCUGAGACGAUAAUGACGGUAUCAGGAGAAGAAGCACCGGCAAACUCUGUGCCAGCAGCCGCGGUAAGCCAGAGGGUGCUAGCGUUGUUCGGAAUGGCUGGGCGUAAAGGGCGCGUAGGCGGAUAUAUUAGUCAAGCGUGAAAGCCCCGGGCUUAACCUGGGAACUGCGCAUGAAACGGUAUAACUGGAGGACGAGAGAGGAAAGUGGAAUUCCUAGUGUAGAGGUGAAAUUCGUAGAUAUUAGGAGGAACAUCAGAGGCGAAGGCGGCUUUCUGGCUCGUAACUGACGCUGAGGCGCGAAAGCGUGGGGAGCAAACAGG